GAGGUGGCUCAGAGUUAAGAGCACUGACUGUGCUGUCAGAGGAUCUGGGUUUGAUUCCCAGCAUC
rfam:Mus musculus chromosome 4, GRC primary reference assembly.